ACUCUUUCCCUGUUGCACUCCUGUGGGUCGCGGGGGCAGUGCAAUGAUGAAAGGGCAU
rnacentral:pre_miRNA from 1 species